GUGUGUGUGUGUGUGUGUGUGUGUGUGUGUGUGUGUGUGUGUGUGUGUGUGUGUGUGUGUGUGUGUGUGUGUGUGUGUGUGUGUGUGUUCACCAUGGGGCCGGGACCAAUAUCAGCGCCUUUGUUGUGAUCAUACUGAGCAGCAAAGUUCUGUUGGAGUGAAAAAUAAAAACCAGAAUAAGAGACAAAAUAUACAUAUAAAAAUUCAUACAAUACAAUAUACUUAUUUUCUAAAUCAUAGGUUAUUGUCUGUUCCAUUGCUAUAAUUGUGCCAGAAUUUGGGUCAGGUGAGUUUAAGGGCUUGAUCGUUUAUCAAACAGAUGAACAGCAAAUCAGCAUCUUCCUGUAGCUUCUAUACCUUACGGUUACAAUAGGAUAUACCAGCCGGUUAACCUUAUUUACUGAGAGGCCUUCAUCAACAUUCAGUUCCCCCACCUAGGAACACUUUAGAACCAACAUCCAUCUUCAGUUCCCCCACCCAGCAGCACUUUAGAACCAACAUCCACCUUCAGUCCCCCACACAGUCACAUUUUAGAACCAACAUCCACCUUCAGUCCCCCCACCCAGCAGUUGACCAAGUCGGCCCCUAUAGGAUACUUACUCUGCCGAGGCCAGGGGGUCCUGGGGGCCCAGCAGGGCCGGGGUUGCCAGGUCUGCCGUCCCUCCCGUCAGGGCCCUGGGGUCCCUGUGGAGGAAGGCCUUGGGUUAGUCUCCGUUGAUUACCACUGAUUGACACACAGCCACCGUGUCUGCUGGGACGCUGCCAGAGUCCCAGCUCUGUUCGGCUGUGGAGCUCGGUUUGGUCUCAACUUGAAUAAAAGCGUCAUGUCCUUUUACUAAAUUGUUUUAUUAUUGUUAAUAAAGUUUAGAAAAGAUAAAUAUGAAUUUGUUCUGGAUAUGUGAGCCAAAGUCAGAAAAAAAUAAUAUACAACAAAUAUUUGUAGUUCAGGUUAUUUUCAGCCGUCGUGCAGCAGAGAUUGGUCCAUUAUUAUUUGUUAUAUUAUCACGGCGGAGGGCUUUAGGCUGUGCCUGAUGUAAACAAAGGGGUGUGGCCUAUUCAAGUUGAAAGGUCAAUCGGCGUCAUCAUAUAUCAACCCGAUAAACUUCAUGAAAGUUUCUAUCCAGCAAACAUGGCAUUGUCAUGCAUCUUGUCAUAAUUAAUGAGUUUGAUAGUGGCUUACCCUUUCACCUCUUGGUCCUUUCGGGCCCUGAGGAAUAUAAGUAAACAAUUGAUGAGUCAGAGGCAGACAUUAUUUAAACAGUGAGGCAAGUUCACGUAAAAAAAGGAAGGUAGACUUAAACUUAACAUAUCUAAAAUCUAAAACCUAAAAGAAGCUCGGCUACAAUCGCUGGGGGAUGAAUAGGUGCAUGUGGACAAACUGUGCAUGUGAACUGCACAGCCAAAGCACCAUUCAGGUGGGAACAUAUUUCAGUCCUCUUCAUUGAACCUGGCCUUUGGCUAGAGCUGAUGCCUACAAUGUCUGCCCUGAGCUAUGCUACGCAUUAUCACAUACACCACACUCAAAGGGCUAAAUGACACAUCCAACCAGGGUUUGAUUGCUCACUUUGAAUCUUCCCUGAGUAGAAAUAGAAGCUAAAUAAAUAGUGUUAUUUAUUUCUUUGUGUCAUUUAACUGUGCUGGCUGUAUCAUGCACUGUUCAGCAUUGCUGUUCAUCUAUCUCAUUGCACAUCAACCCAUUAACAUGCAGGGGAUUUAUGAUGCUGUACAUGUCCAUGCAGAAGCACAGCCUCAUAAAGCUGCUCCCAGAUCACUGUGCACACUGUAGUAUUAAACUGAUCCGAAACCACAAUCAGGGGCGUAUCAAGCUUUCCAAAAGUGGGGGUGUUCUGGAAUAGGCGAAGAAAUAAUCAUUCCAAAUAGCGAUGAUCAAUUAUAUGAACUUUUACAUACAUCUAGGCCUACAAAAUGGAAGAAAUGCGAGCAGAUACACUGUGUGUGUGUGUGUGUGUGUGUGUGUGUAUGACUCAUUGUGUGUUUGUUUGAUACACGCACACACACACACACACACACACACACACACACACACACACACACACACACACACACACACACACACACACACACACACACACACACACACACACACACACACACACACACACACACUGUGUGAUAAAGCUGAAAGGAGCUUCAGCAGCCUCUGAAGGCUGAAAACAUGGAUGCGAAGUACAAUGACACAAACAUGUCUCAACAGUGUAACCGUGUGUUAUGUUCAAAAGCACAAGCUGGAUCUGUUGGACAGGAAAAUGAUUGCAGAACAAUUAGUUUGUCAUAAUGAGCAGAGACAAAACACAUUUGUAAAGCCACUUGAGGCUGUUGCAUGAAUGUUCAAUAACUGUAGCUCUAAUGACAUUUGGCUAGAGCGUUUGUUACUUGUAUGUAGUGAUGUUAUUAUGUAGUGACACACAGAGUGCAGGCUGUCAAACCAGUGGUCAAGUUCAACUUCAAAUGUUCUCCAUUUCAUGCUGAGACCUAUCUAUGAUCUAUGUAUAAUGUUGGGCUUAUGUGUUUAUGGUGUGGUAUUACUGAUUAUACAGUAGCCUAACUGAAAAUAAAACGUGUCUGAUCGAAUGGAACGCACUUGCAUGCUUCUAAUGUUCUAAGAAAACAAGAUGAACCCUUGACACACACUGUUGAGGACAUUUCACGUUCAAGUGUGCUGAGAAAGCGAAUCGCACAAUUCUCCGGAUUUUCGUGUAUCACAGCAUUCAUUCACAUUCAUUAAACCAGUAGGCCUAAGUUGAUUGCUGUGACACAUACUUUGUGUAUAUUUUCAGUGAUACACCUUGUAGAUUGAAGUGCGUUUUCUCAAGGUUUGAAAAUGACGAAUCGCACGAGGAUCUCUACUCUCCGUAAAGGCUACCUGUAGCCCUAGUCAAACCUGUGCAUCCCAACCGCGGUAGCACUCGAAACAGAUAGCCUAUAGCUUGCAACUUGCAAGCACGUCAGUGUCUGCAGAGGGAGAGAAGUCAACUUACUUGUUUUCUCUUGAAAAAGCCGUCUAUAGUCCCCUGUCUUUUUCUUUUAGUUUUCGGCAUCAUUGGCUAUAUUGCACGAAAAAAUAAAACAGUUUUAAAACUAAAGUAGGCUUAGUUCCCGUCGGAAGAAUGAAUGGGAUCUUAUGCUAGGAGGUAACUAGCUCUUGAAUAGAGAGCCAUGAACCUUGCAUCUAUUAAUGACAAAUAAUUAAUCGCUUAAUCGCUUUAAUCGCUUAAUAUGCCUGAAAAUGUUGCCUUCAUUACAGGCAGUGAAUGAUGCUGAUCUAAAACAGUGAUUCAAUUCUACCUUUUCAUUGAAGGCGUCAAGUCAGUAUGCAGCACGAACAGUUAGGCACAGCAAUCUGUGAGAAACUGCUUGAAUGACCGCGGUCACCGCGCUGAGUUCUCAGGCAGUCGGGUCUCGGGAGCACCGCUGCCAGCGCUUUCUGCAGGCUGCGCGAGCUGUUUAGUCUACGUAACGUCAAUUGUAGCGCUGGGAUUUACAGAGUGAUCAUUUGAUACAGAGGGAUGCAAUCAUAGCAACCAUUUUAAAUUGCAUACAACAGGCGAACGUUUACUGUUUUUUAUUAGAAAAGCUGAUUUUUGUGAGGAUUUGACGAACAAAAGUGGAGGGGAUGGAAUGGCCUUCCAAUAGAAGUGAGGGGGAUGCAUCGUACUCAUCCCCCGCGUCUGAUACGCGCCUGACCACAAUUAUAGCCUAUUAAAUAAUGACGCUAAGCUGCCAAGCUUUGUAUUCUGUAACUUACCUGAUAUGAAGUGAUCGCUGCACAAGCGGAAUCCAACAGCCGGGGGGUCCCAUUUUUCAGUCUUUUUUUGCUUGCUCCUGGCUCUUUUAAUGGCGCUGAUCCACUUAGCUCGCCUCUCCGCAUCUUUAGGAAUGCGGUAGAACGACGUACAUUUAUUUUUGCCUCGUUUAUUUGUGCAACCUGGUGCACAACAGUUAUCGACCAUGUCUGCUCCACCACAAGAGCGCCAGUCUGCCGAAUACUGCCAAAAUGGUGGUGCCCACGUUUUCCCCGCCCCAACAACGUCAACACCCGGAACUCUAUUGCAGCCAAUGAGCUCGAGUUGACCCUGCUUAGCCUCCGAGAUCAGACGAGAUCGCGCGUGCUCAGGGUGGUAUGGCCGUAAGCAAUUAUUGUCUUGUCCAUACUAACUUUUAUACAGGAGGAACCCAUAAUGAGUGGGAGCGCUGCUGUGGCCAGAGACGGGACUUGUACAGAAACAAUAAUUUGAUCCAUAAUGAAUGAAAGAAAUGAAUGAAUGAAUGAAUGACUACGUUAUUCCAGACUCAGAGUUCCACAUCUGAAUGUAAUGCAUUACACUGCUUGGGCGUGAUCGUUUGCGUGAUCUUUUGAAUAAACGUAGCGUUGCAAAACGUGGGAUGGACGGCAUUAGUCAGCGCGAUGAAGCCAUUCAUAGCUAUUAUUUCUUUAGAACAACAUGAUCAGGGGAGAGCGCGAACGCAGUCCCCCACUACCAGAAAUUAUGCAAUCGAGAUUCCCACAUUUGGGGAAUUCGCACGGGUCAGCAACAGCCUCAGUGCAAUGGCUGAGCCUCGCUAUGGGUGAACCACCUUCUUGAUCGUGGUAUCUCCCUUGCCAGGUAAGUAUGAGUUGUACACGUUCAGGUGGGCUGAACGAUGCCCACGCUUGUUCCCGUGGAGAACGGUUGCAAAGCAUUCGGAGAUGUCUAGACUUUAAUAAACACUGUAGACCACCGGUCACACGAUGACAGGCGAAUCUGAAAUCAGCGUGAUGGAAGCAUAACGAAAGGAAACCUGGAGAUCCGAGUUAUCGACCCGCCACAGAAAGAAUCCUUUUUUCUUUCUUAAACAACAGAAUAUCGUUGGAAUAAUUGUAAACAGUGCGUUUAUGAAUUGUAAAUGACACUUUAUUGUCUACAGGCGGACGGGUGUACUCUCAGGUAGUGAUGUUAUGGUUUGCGUCGAGGCAUCGGGGCGUGUGUCGAGUACCUCGGCUCCUCCCCCAGCGAAGCUCCGUAUCACAUAGGCGAAAUGACGUGGCGCGUGACGUUCGAGGCUUCAUCUCGGGCUGUUGCGCGAUAUGGGUUCACAAUUGGCACAUUUUUACAAAAAGAAGACCCUACCCAGUUCCAAGAUCACUUUUAUGGCUAUGUAAUUAAUCACACUCAUUCUCAGUCAUCAUGCAGUUCUAUUAUUACAAUUAUUAGUAGGCUACUGAGACAAUCUAUUUUGCCCGGGAUGACUUAAAAUCUAGGUCAAAUGAUUUGUUCUCUACCAUGAGCUCGGGAGAUAUUUAUGAACGGCAAACUCACACGUAUCACUGAAAUGACUUUAAUUCUUAAACGUUGUGAUGUUGUAGGCUACGAAGCAAACAUCACAUCAUCACAGGAAACUCUUUCUUUCAUCAUAAUUUAAUUCACCACUAGGUGUCCCUAGCGUACUAAUUUGAAGCUUCGAGGUCGAACCACUUUGAUGGUUCAUCUGGCUGCGAGGCUUUGACGUUUCAUGAGGCAUCAUCUCGGCACCACUACUCUCUGGACUCAGGAGGAGUUUAGUUUUGUUUUUCACAGUGAGAGAGGGGUGCACCGGUCCUGGAGGUACUGCAAUACCAGGUCGAUGCGUGGAGUGGACGGAGCAAGCCCCUUUUCCAUCUCCCAGUUCCAAAAAUCAAUUUAAUAUAUGGUCCCCGGGUAGGGGACGUAUCAGAUAUUAAACUGAUAAGAACAGAUACUACACUUGAUCUUAGCCAAAAGGCCGAGAAGCGAUGCCUCCACAGGCUCAGACCAAGAGGCCAGCUUCCCAGACACGUCGCUCCACUUGGCGGUUUAACAGACAACGACAAAACAAAAAAAAGACCAAGCACCCUGUGUGCGUGUUUGUGUGUAUGUGAAAGCUGAAGAAAUAAACCGAGGUCGCUACAUCUCUUUGCUGCUGCCUGCUGGCAGUCUCACUAGGCCGUCUGCAUGUUUCACAAAUAGAGUGUGGAGCAGUGGAGGCUUCUAUAAGACUACAGGUGAAGCAGUGCUUCACCAAAAAAAUGUUAAAAAAUAAAUAAACCAAAAAUCUUACAACAAUCCCAUUUUCAGUGCUUUGAAACAGAAAUACUCACGAAGACGAGCUGUUUUCCUGAAAUCAAUUAUGUGAGUCACAACAGCGCCACUAUUCCCAUUGACUUCAAUGUAAAUCGAGUGAACCCCAGGCGGCUCGUGUUUAUUUUCCGUUUCAAUUGAUCCUUAUGGCAGAUAAGUCCCACCCGUGAACCAGUGACCGAUAGGGUAGAAUUUUGCACUUCAGUCACUUGACACAACACUCUGGCCAGUCACCGCCUUCAUUGGACAGCUAUCGUGAACUGACUACGAGUGAAAGCAGAGGGCAGACCAAAACCUACUGUGAAAACCACACAGCUCGUUGGUGCUACGGUAAGGAGCAUUUUAAAUUGCUCCAUGUAUGACAAGGUAAACUGGCUAACAGGGAGUUGGCUGAAAAAACGCCUUUACUGUUGGCCCCGUGUCAUGUUUAAAGCAUGCAAUUGUGGUGUAGAACAAAAUAAAAAGAAAACAAAGUGCUUGCAUGAUAUCGAGUUCCUGAACCCACGUGACCACCGGUGUUCGGAACGCCAUUUUGUCAGUAAAAUCAAGCGCCGCCCUUAAAGAGCUUCCUUAAAAUGACCCGGCGCCGAAGCUUUCAAGCCAUCGGAGUACUCAUCUCACUUUAAUUCGCAUGACAUCGAGCUCUAUAGGCAAAAAUUAAAUAGGUUAAAUAUUACCGACCCAUACAAUGGCCCCGGGGUGCUUUUCAAAAGCAUCUCCGCUGAAGAAGACGUCCCAGAUCUGCAGUAUCCGGAUAGAUAUAACUACCUUCAGAGCAGCCACAAAGACAGACGUCAGAAAGCCUGCAGUGUCUCUAAUAAGACAAAUAUGCUACCCAAAAGUCCCAUAGUUUCACCAGUGAGGCUACCAGUUGGGGAUGUCAACACGAGGACUUGGCAAGGAAAUACUAUGAAAUGCGUCAUCGCCUCUCACACACGAAUGUCAUGGUAGGAACAGCUGGAUUCAGGAUUUCACCCCUGCAUUGGGGCCUCACCUGAUGGAUACGUUUCCUGUAGCUGCUGUGGUUCAGGUGUCAUAGAAAUUAAGUGCCCAUUUUCUGCAAAGGACCUUUCUGUUAAUUAGGCAGUAAAGUGUUUUUCUGCACAGAAACCAGCACCAGCAGCAGCAGCAUUUGCUGAUCAUAGUCAACAACAGUGGUGCUACUGCCCUGAGCCAGAAGCAGGGAACAUGGUGGUCUGUGCGUCAGGUUUUUGUUCAGUUAAAAAGUUUCACCAGACCUGCCUUCGCAUGAAAAGGGUCCCAAAACAGUGGGUAUGUCCCAUCUGCCGAAAAGUGAUCAAUGCCCAAAGAAGAAAACCUUAGUGAGGAGACUGUGAAAUGAGUUGUUUGUAGUAGCUGAUACUGUACUGUUAUUUAUGAAUAAACAGUUGUUAAACCAAUAUUGUUCUCUUCCCCAUAAUUUGUAUUAGAUAUCUGUAGCAAUCAGGGAUAUGAAACAUGGGUGGGUCAUUCAUAUAAAACACACCAGAACAAAUAUCUGUUUGGGUGGAACUCAAGUUAGAAUGGGUGGAUGUGCAGCUUGAUCUGCAAAGAGAAACGAUGUGAUCGCAUCAGAAUAGCGAGUGAUUAAAAAUAAUGUCACGACAAGCAAGCAAGAAGUGUGAGUCACAAAGGUUUAUUUGCUGGUUGAGCACAUCUGUAGCCAGUCACAUCAGUUCAAUUUACUGUAAAUCCCCAUCACUGGAAGGACACCACAGAUUCAGACACAUUUGUAAGUGCACAACACACGCUCACCAUCUUGUCAAGGUAGGCCACAUCAUUUUCCCUGUCUAUGUCCGUGAAACAUAUGGGGACAGUGCUUUGCAAGACUGUGUACUUUUGACGGAGAACUCCUAUCACUCUUUCAAUAUGUAUCCUAAGAGAGGCUAGACGUCUGGUGUUCUCCAAGUCAGCAGGAUCUAACUGCUUCUAUCCACGAGUAAAUGCUGGAAUUUUUAAUUCAGCUUGGCAUCUCUCAAUGGACUCUUUAACCAGACAACCUCUGUCCGCUAAAACUACGUCCCCUGGGAGCAAAUGAGAUAAAAAGUGACUUUGUUCUGUGAUAAACGUAUCACUUGUGCGACCUCCCCAUCCAGCGGAAAUGAAACAAAUGGAACCUCGAGGGCAAAUUGCAAUUAAAUAUUUCAUUGUGUGGUGUGAUUUGUAUGAUGAGUAACACUGAGCACUGGCUAGCAAUCUACUGGGUUUCUCUAGAAAUAUUUCAAAACAAUCUAUAAUGCAAACUGUCUUUUCAAAGCUACGGUUUCGAAAUGCAUAUGGAAGAGAUUUUCUUAAGUAUUCUCUGUCAGGCCACAACACCAGACUUGGCACCAGUCUACAAUGCAUCACACUAAUGCAGUGUUUGAAGAGCUUUGAAACAGUGGUUGAGUCAAUGUCAAAAUAAAAAGCCAAAAACUCAAAGGACAAGUUCAUUCUAAGCUUAAUUAAAGUUAACAUGUACUGCUGAAAACAUGUUAAACUAGAUUUAAGUUGGAGAAAAGGAGCCACAAUAUGAAAAAUUGUCAUGAGAAUGGAGAAUGCUGAUAAACCAGUGAGAGUAUGAACCCUUUUAUCAUCGUUAUGCAAGCUCAUCUCAUUCAGUGUAGUCCUAUUCAUUUUUUCCUUCAACAACAUAUUUUCAGUCCUCAGAGCUUGGCAUUCUUGCUCAAGAGAUUGGACGCGUUUACCACAGGUUUCAGUGGUGCAUGGUGGGGUUGCUGGAUCCUCCUCAUGGAGAACAGGCUGGACAUCGUUUCCAGGUUCUUCAUGGGUAGAUUCCUUCAAAGGCUCUGUGGUGGGACUUUGCUCUGCAGUAGGAUCCUUGUUGCAGUCUUGGGGACAAUCUGUUGAUGCUCUGGUGAAAACAAAAGUAGUAUAAACUGUCACUACUGAUGACAGUUUGUCAUUCUUUUGUCAGUCACUCUCUGUUUUCUGCAGUAUACUAGCUUUCGUUAGUAAGAAAGUAAGUAAAUUGUAUUUGUAUAGCACAUUUACAUCCAAAAGUGCUUUAUAGUCGGUAUAUGAUAAAUAAACAAUGUAAUAAAAUAAAUGAAUAGAAAGACAAUGACAGGGAUAUUGACAAUGACAGUGACAAUCACAUGCAUAGUCAGUGGCUGCCAAAUGCAAGUCGGUAUAGGUGUGUGAUGAUUUCAGCCCAGUCACAGAUGUUAUGUUUUUUAGCUCAUUGGGUGUUAUUAAACCUACAAUGAAUUGUACAAAAAAAAAUUGGUUUAUAAUUUUCCCAAGUCCAUGGAAGUGGGGUUGAC